UGUGGAUAACAUAAUUGUCAUAAAAACACGGCACGUUGCUACUAACCAUAGUGAACCAUCCUUAAAAAUUGGACUAUUAAAUGUUAGAUCACUUGCUCCAAAAGCAGAUCUUGUCAACAAACUGAUAAUAGACCAUAAUCUCAAUGUAAUAUAUCUGACCGAAACUUGGCUAAGACCUGAUGAAUAUGUUGCAAUUAAUGAAGCGUCUCUUGUGGGUUUUAUAGGUACUCAGGUGUCACGUCCAUCAGGCAGAGGGGGAGGCAUUGCAGCUAUUUAUCAGUCCAUAUUGAGUCUAGCGCCUAAGCAUGGAUAUAAUGUUCUCCUCUUUUGAAGUUCUUAUUACUAACUGUGUAUAACCCGAUCUAGCUAAUAAAAGUGCUAGCAGGCAGCCCUUUUUUCUUUGGUCUGUUUACAGGCCACCUGGGCCUUAUUCAGAUUUUUUAAGGGAAUUUGCUGAGUUUUUAUCACACCUUGCAAUUUCAGCAGAUAAGGUCAUAAUUGUUGGUGAUUUACAUGUGGAUAAAAAUGGUGACCCCCUAGGAACAGCUUUUGCCUCUAUUAUUGAUCCUAUUGGUUUUGUACAGAAUGUUUGUGAGCCUACUCACUACCGUGGCCAUACCUUAGACUUAGUUCUGUCCCAUGGUAUUAAGUGUGGUAAAUCUUACCGUCGCACCUCAUAACCCUGUACCAUCAGAUCAUUUCCUCAUUACGUUUAAUAUUAAGGCAUCCAAUCCACCUGUAUCAGAGCCUAGACAUUACUACAGCCGAUCAGUAAACCCUGAGGUUAUUCCAAAGUUUAUGAAUAUGCUUCUGGAGUCAUUCCUCUCCACAGAAGAAAAAGCUGAUGAAAAUGCUGAUGAAGCUGCACUGGACCAACUGACUAACCAGCUAACCCUUACCCUCAGGAGCACUCUUGAUGUUGUUGCCCCCCUUAAAAGAAGAAACCCUAGUUGGAAAAACCACACUCCAUGGUACAACGAUACCACCCGGGCCCUGAAGCAGUCUCCUAGAAAAUUAGAGCGAAAAUGGCGGUCAACAAAGCUAGAGGUAUUUCAUCUUGCAUGGAAAAAAUAGCUUCUGCUAGAUCUGCCUUUUUCUCAAAACUAACUGAACAAAACAGACAUAACCCAAAAUUUCUAUUUAGUACUGUGGAUAAAUUAACUAAAAAACAAUCAUCAGAGUUUUCAACUUAUCCCUCCAGUCUUAGCCCUAAUGACUUUAUGAACUUUCUCAAUCAGAAAAUUGAGGCUAUUAGAGACCAGAUUUCCAAACUGUCUCCAUCAUGCACUAUUCCUGUUCAUAUUAAUAAACAGCCUGGUUACAACAGGAAGAUUUACAGACAGCGGUACUAAACUGUUUUACGCCCAUUAGCAUGGUUGAGCUAUCCGAACCAGUUAUGUCCUCUAAAUCGACGGCUAGUCGAUCUCAUUCUUUCAAAUUGGGUUAAAGAACUAUUUACAGUACUAGGCCAGCACAUACUAAAAAUCAUUAACACAUCCCUAGUUACAGGAUAUGUACCUGUGUCAUGAAAAAUGGCAGUAAAGCCAUUAUUGAAGAAACCAAACCUAGAACCUGAGAAAAUGGAAAUUAUAGACCUAUUUCAAACUUUCCAUUUCUAUCAAAAUUAUUGGAGAAAACUGUUGCUAAGAAACUAAGUGCAUACCUUAGCUCUAACAGUAUCCUUGAAGUAUUCCAAUCAGGGUUUAGACCCCACCACAGCACAGAAACCGCACUUAUCAAGGUUACAAAUGAUUUACUACUGUCAGCCGACCGUAACUCUGUGUCGGUUCUUGUACUCCUCGAUCUGAGUGCAGCUUUUGACACAAUUGAUCAUGGAAUUCUACUGGACAAACUCCAGGCCUGUGUUGGACUUCAUGGACAGGCACUCGCAUGGUUUUGAUCAUACCUAUGUGACAGGAAACAGUUUGUCAACUUAAAAGAAGAAGAGUCCAGCUCCUCAAUAAUGAAAUACGGUAUUCCACAAGGACCAGUACUAGGACCAGUACUCUUCUCGCUAUAUAUGCUACCACUUGGCAAUAUUAUCUGGGCACAUGGCGUAGAAGUUCCACUGUUAUGCGGACGAUACACAGAUUUAUAUUUCAAUGAAACCUGGUGAAGCACUGCCACUUUCACGAUUAGAGGCCUGUAUUGUAGAUAUUAAGUUUUGGAUGCUUUCAAAUUUUCUGCUCCUGAAUUCAGAUAAGACCGAAAUGUUGGUUUUAGGUCUUAUCUGAAGGUUUAGGUGAACAUAAUAUGGUCGUUAAAGACCUUGGUGUCACUAUUGAUCCUGAUCUAUCCUUUGACACGCAUAUAAAAAACAUAUCCAGAAUUGCCUUCUUUCAGUUACGCAACAUAGCUAAAAUCAGGCAUUUCCUGUCAGUUGUGGAUGCAGAAAAAUUGAUUCAUGCUUUUGUUACGUCUAGGCUAGACUACAGUAAUGACCUGUUAUCGGGCUGCCCUAAUAACUCAUUAAAGAGUCUCCAGCUUGUGCAGAAUUCAGCUGCUUGUAUCUUGACCAGAACUAAGAAGUGUGAGCACAUUACUCCAGUGCUAGCGUCGCUUCACUGGCUACCCAUUAAGCAUAGAAUAGAUUUCAAGGUUUUGCUCCUGACCUUUAAAGCUCUGCAUGGACGUGCACCAGUGUACAUAACCAACCUGCUCCUACCUUAUCAGCCCACAAGGUCACUCCGUUCUCAAGACGCAGGCUACCUGGUAGUUCUAAGGAUUUCCAAAAACCUAAAAGGUGAUAGAGCUUUCUCCUACGGAGCCCCACUACUGUGGAACCAGCCUCCAAAAUUUAUAAAGGAGUCAGACUCAGUCUCAAUAUUUAAAUCUAGAUUAAAAACGCACCUCUAUGCUCAGGCUUAUAAUCAGUUAUAGUCUGGAGACAGGGUGGGAUAAGUCUGUAGUCAUAGAGCAUUGUGGGUUGGCAAUCCUUUCCUUACUGUCACCUGUCAAUCAGCUGUGACCCGACUUUACAUAGGCUGGCUCUUGAUAGGCGGGUAUGGUUGUGCCCCCCCUCAUGACUGCAUGGACUCUCCAUCCCUGUCCUAGUAGAUAUGCAGCUAUAUAUUACUCCUGGUGGGGUCCCCCCAAUUCAUACUACUGCUACUUUCUGUUCUAUUGCAAAUUCCCUAAAACCCGCUUCCCCAUGCUGCCGGCGGGGCUCUUGCCCGAAUAUUCGAGAGUGCUUCGAGAGUCGUCUGGUUUCCCCCACCACUGCGGUCCAGCCCCUCUUUCGUCAUUGCCUCCACCCUGCUCACAUCUGUCGCCACCUGCUGCUCCCCAUCACCGCCACCCGGCCCCACCCAUCAUCUGAGCCACAUCAUAAACCUGUAAAACUGACCGACAUGUUGAUAACCAGUCAGCACCCUGAGCCGACCAGAGGAGAAUGGGUUUCUCCCUUGAGCCUGGUUCCUUCCAAGGUUUCUUCCCAUCUGCCACAGGGAGUUUUUCCUUGCCACUGUUGCCUUAGGCUUGCUCCUGUGGGGGUUUAGGCCAGAGUUGUCUGUAAAGCGUAUUGUGACAACUGCUGUAAAAUACGCUAUAUAAAUAAAAUUUGAUUGAUUGAUUUGA